ensembl:lncRNA
GGGCAGGCGGUCCUCUCCUGAACACGUGUUAUCAAAUUCCUGCACCACCUCCAGUCCAACAAUCACCACCACCGUACAACCCCGAUCCUACGGUUGGCAGACCUGUAACACGCAGUCAAACCCGGCUGGGAGACCAGGGAGGUGCCGACGUCAAAUCGCGCUCACCCCUCAACCCAUUCGGACCUGACCCCACAGCUCAGUCCACCCCGGACUCUGCGUGGUCAAUCCACGACCCAUCCUCCUGGAGGGGCACAGCCGGCAGAAUUGUGGAUUUUCUUAGUCCCGACACCACCAUGGACAGUAAACCGGGUGGGCAUCGUGGUGUCGUGUUCCGACCCUGGACAGCGACUGAUAUUCAACAGGCAGCCUCUCACCUGCCCGACAUCAAAAACGGUGCAGCCUUUGGAAAAGAGUUCCUGGCCUUCUGUAAAGAAUUCAUGCCCACCGGACCCGAGAUCCAUCGUCUUCUGGUCAAACAUGUGGGCCUGAGUGAUUUCAGUAAAAUCAGAGCGGUGGUCACUGGUCAGGGCUGUGACUCCCGCCACGAGGCACCCGACUGGGAUCAUGCAGAUAACGUCGCCUACAGAGCAUUUGUCACCGCAGUGUGUGCAGCUGUUGUUACAGCUUUUCCGGCAACAGUAAACAUGGCCCCCAUCAACAGCACAAAACAAGGUAGGACCGAAGAUGUAACAUUUUACCAUCAGCGUCUUGUGGCUGCUUUUCAGAUUCACAGCGGCCUCGAGGAGCCCACAGACAUAACCAACAUGACCGUGUGGGAAACUCAUCUCAAGAACGCCUUCAUGAACGGGCUUCUGCCAGACGUCAAAACUGCCACUGAACACUCUGUCGUGGGUCUGGAAGAUGCAAGGCUCACAGAAGUGGUAAAACAUGCACGACACAAUUACAAAAUGCAUGUGGAAAAUCAAAUGCGUCAAGACAAACGCAGCAAGCAGACUGGGGAGAAAGCCCAGCUUGCGAUGCUCCAAGCUUUAAAACAGUUGACACUGGGUGCAGAAGGAGGACGAGACCCCCACCCAUCCGGAAAUUUUUAUGGGAGGGACCAACAGAGAGGACGAGCGUAUGGAAUAAAUCAUGGGAGAAGACGGCGUUUUCAAGGAGGGGCCCCACGAGAAGUGCAACCCGAUGAAUGCUUCCUCUGGCGAAACAGGACAUUGGUACCAAGACUGCCCCUCCCGUUCAAACCUGUGGUGGAUCCCGAUCGAUGAUGCUCGGAGGCUGAGCCAGGCUGGUGAAGCACGGGUUUCUCCUCAUGCAGACCGUAUGAACUCUGAACACCUGCAUUGCACAACAUGUGUCUCAGAGGGUCCAGACGACUCUUUUGAAGAGACAUUUUUUGAGGCCCUCAAUGAUGCAAUUGCCUGUUCUACUUUGUACUGGUCAACUUGUAAAUCGGCUGUGUCUAUUUCUCUGUCUCCCACGCAGAAAGAGCUGUUUCAAGUUCCCGGCUCCUAUCCCCAUGUCUCACUGUCUGAAGGACGCCUUGACCAAUGGAGGGAUUUGGAACCAUUUGAAGCUCUCACUGCCUGGGAGGAGACAAUCGAUCCGCUCGUUCUGCGCUCCGCCUCUAAAGGGUUUCACAGAACUCGCUGUGUGCUCCUCACACCAGCUUGUCGAUCUGUCUAUGUGUUUUAUGAGCACAACGACAAAGUUGAAACAUUUUUAACAACUCCCACGUCGAUUUCUCCCGCUCUUGCUUCUGUUCCACAGACACUCUGGGCGGCACACAAAUAUUACGUAGGCUUGAUCAACAACUGCCAACCGGUCGUCAUCACUCCACGUUCUGACUAUGUUGACGACUGUUUGAUUGCAGCUCCAAAUGAGGCACAGUGUCAGACAGACACGCUUAAACUACCUCAAACAUUUAGC